rnacentral:pre_miRNA from 1 species
AAAAUACUCCCUCCUUCCAGAAAUACUUGUCGGGGAGAUGGAUGUAUCUAGACGUAUUUUAGUUCUAGAUACAUCCAAUUUUAUCUAUUUGUGCGACAAGUAUUUCCGGACGGAGGGAGUAAGUA